CUGUAAUGACAGUUUCAAGGCAGUUCUUUACAGUUUCUAGCAAGCUCCCCGUUUUAUCUGCCCACGUCUGGUAACCUCCGACCUGUCUCCUUUUUUUCCUCCUCACGUCGCAGUAGCCUUCAUAUACCCUUCCUCUUGUAUACAUCUGAUAUAUACGCAGACAAAUAACAUAGCUUUCAUCAAUCGCUAUCUCAAACCUUCAUUCAAUCAGAACCUGAUGUUUUACACCCCACUGAUGUACCAUUGUCGCUGAAAUCUUCAAAACCAAGUUCAUCUUUCACGUAACACUAAUGCUUCUUCAAAUUCAUCUUGAUUUUCACUUAUGUGGCUUUGCGGAUAGUGAGUUCAUCACGUAGCAGUUAAUUGAAAAUCGAAACCCUCAAGUUUUCAGAACCGAUGUUGAAGAUUUAGAGACGACUCUGUUGGAAAUACCCAGAUCGGUGAGAAGCCAUUUUUUUGUUGUCUUCUUUUAUUCAGGUAUUAUACGAUUCUUCAAGACUAAGAAGUUCAUUCGUUCGUUCAGGUUGUUGCGUAAUGCAUAUGGAUGGGGGUUCUUGCAUAAUGGUGUGGUGAGAUUACCCUGAGACGAAGAUCUGCUGAAUCGCGUUCCACUGCUAAUCCUACCACUCAAAGAGAAAGUUGUUCUGGUGUUCUUGAUAUAACAAUCAUCACUCCUUAUGAAACUCAAGUUAUACUCAAGGUACUCCCCGUCACAAGAAACCAUCACCACCUAUUGAUGAUUCAGAAUUCGAUGACUGGCUUCUACACUUUGUUGUUCUCUAAGGACCAUUUGUUUUAUUGUAUUUGAUGUCCACAGGCCUUGAAGAUAGUAGGAGUGUAGGACGCCAUUAUUUAAUUGUUCAUGGAAUUUAUGUAGGUCUAAAGAAGUCAUGUAUUUUAACAUCUAAGUUCUGUACUAGCAUGCUGGAGUGAUAAGAGAAGCCGCUUGAAAGUGAAUAAGGGUGAGAAAUUCUGAAUUGUUUAUUUGACAAGGCCUGUGGAGACAUAUAACAUGUUGGGGUUGGGGCUUUGUUUAGAUGGAUGCAGAAACUGCACGAAGAUGGGUCAACUCUGUCCGUUUUGAGUUUUGACCCAUGCUUUAUAAAGUUAAUAAGGUACUUCAUCAUGCAAAAGGGGACUGUUAGCUAAAUUAUAUGAUGUAAAAAAGUUUAAUCAUGUUGAAAUGAAGGAAUUUUUUUUGUUGAAAGUAAAGUCCAGGGACUUUGUUGUUAUGUUUAAAAGAAUAAGGGAAUCAAUCAUGCAAAAAUAAAGUCCAUGAACAUUACUCCAAGUUUAGUUACUUACAGUUUA